CACUUUUCUGGAUUUUUCCCACUUUUUUCUGGAUUUUUCCCACUUUUUUUCUGGAUUUUUCCCACUUUUCCUGGAUUUUUCCCACUUUUUUCCCCUUUUUCCAGGAUUUUUCUGGAUUUUUUUCUGGAUUUUUCCCACUUCUCCUGGAUUUUUCCCCACACUUUUCUGGAUUUUUCCCACUUUUCCUGGAUUUUUCCCAAUUUUUUCUGGAUUUUUCCCAGUUUUUUCUGGAUUUUUCCCACUUUUUUCUGGAUUUUUCCCACAUUUUCCUGGAUUUUUCCCACUUUUUUCUGGAUUUUUCCCACUUUUUUCUGGAUUUUUCCCACUUUUUUCUGGAUUUUUCCCACACUUUUCUGGAUUUUUCCCACUUUUUUUCUGGAUUUUUCCCACUUUUUUUCUGGAUUUUUCCCAGUUUUUUCCUGGAUUUUUCCCACAUUUUUCUGGAUUUUUCCCACUUUUUUCCCAUUUUUCCCAGAUUUUUCUGGAUUUUUUCUGGAUUUUUCCCACACUUUUCUGGAUUUUCCCUACUUUUUCCUGGAUUUUUCCCACUUUUCCUGGAUUUUUCCCACUUUUUUCUGGAUUUUUCCCACAUUUUUCCCGUUUUUCCCAGAUUUUUCUGGAUUUUUUUCUGGAUUUUUCCCACUUUUCCUGGAUUUUUCCCACUUUUCCUGGAUUUUUCCCACAUUUUUCCCAUUUUUUCCAGGAUUUUUCUGGAUUUUUUUUCUGGAUUUUUCCCACUUUUUCUGGAUUUUUCCCACAUUUUUCUGGAUUUUUCCCACUUUUUUCUGGAUUUUUCCCACUUUUCCUGGAUUUUUCCCACUUGUCCUGGAUUUUUCCCACUUUUUCUGGAUUUUUCCCACUUUUUUCUGGAUUUUUCCCACUUCUUUCUGGAUUUUUCCCACUUUUUCCUGGAUUUUUCCCACUUUUUCCUGGAUUUUUCCCACUUUUUUCUGGAUUUUCCCCACUUUUCCUGGAUUUUUCCCAAUUUUUUCUGGAUUUUUCCCACUUUUCCUGGAUUUUUCCCACUUUUUUCUGGAUUUUUCCCACUUUUUUCUGGAUUUUUCCCACUUUUUUCCCGUUUUUUCCAGGAUUUUUCUGGAUUUUUUUCUGGAUUUUUCCCACUUUUUUUUGAUUUUUCCCACUUUUUUCUGGAUUUUUCCCACUUUUUUCUGGAUUUUUCCCACUUUUUUCUGGAUUUUUCCCAGUUUUCCUGGAUUUUCCCCACUUUUUUUUUGAUUUUUCCCACUUUUUUCUGGAUUUUUCCCACUUUUUUCUGGAUUUUUCCCACUUUUUUCUGGAUUUUUCCCACAUUUUUCCCAUUUUUUCCAGGAUUUUUCUGGACUUUUUCCUGGAUUUUUCCCACAUUUUUCUGGAUUUUUCCCACAUUUUUCU
rnacentral:lncRNA from 1 species